rnacentral:rRNA from 1 species
GCGGACGGGUGAGUAACACGUGGGUAACCUGCCCAAAAGAAGGGGAUAACAUUUGGAAACAAGUGCUAAUACCGUAUAACCAUGAUGACCGCAUGGUCAUGAUGUAAAAGGUGGUUUUGCUAUCGCUUUUGGAUGGACCCGCGGCGUAUUAACUAGUUGGUAAGGUAACGGCUUACCAAGGUGAUGAUACGUAGCCGAACUGAGAGGUUGAUCGGCCACAAUGGGACUGAGACACGGCCCAU